UUGCACAGUGAACACCCAAGUAUACUUCAUAGUUCCCUUGGCAUAACUCUGUGCUAGAAUAAUUCUGUGCUUUACCUCUGCAUUGGAAGGAAUCCUUUUCCUUUUACAUGUAUUCAAAAGGACUGUACACUU
ensembl:snoRNA